rnacentral:lncRNA from 1 species
AUCCUUCCAAGUUUAGGAAAUGGCCUCGUCCGACCCCGAGUGCCGAGGAGCAAGAGAUUUACUCUCUUUUUUAUCAGCUCCCAAGAAAACUCCCUACAUGGAAGUUGAUGGUCGUGUACACGUCUUCUCAACAUUAGACGGCCUUUCAGGAUAUGUUAGUUUUCUCUAGUCUCGAUCGGGCUUGGUCGUUCUUCUAUCAUUUAACUUAUGCAUUGUUCUUUUUAUUGAUGUAGAAACCAUGCAUAAAGGGGUUCCUCAAACCGAUAACCUGGUCAACGCCUUCUGUGCGAGGGCCUAGCAAUGGGACAAAGGUUGUCCCAGCAUAGAGACGGUGGCAGGCAACAACUAGUCUGUUGUUGGUGCUGGUUCUUUGGUCCCCUUUGGCAAGAGCAAGAAAAGGCCAAGAGAGGGGGUAACAUAGCCACAACUACUCGCUUUCCUGGUGUCAUGCCGACUCCCCCUCGAUCCUCUCCAUCAUUGUUGACUCUCUUCCGCUAACUGAUUUGUUCGACCGUCCAAUCGCUGCUGCCAAGCCUACUCCCAAGGCUUCGAGGUCACCCCUAUCUGUACUAAGGGGUGACUUGCAGUUUUCCAAGGGGUGAGAGUCGGCCUGAACCCCACCGCGAAGGAUCUGAUUCAGGUUGUUCCUGAGGAAGACUUGCUUCAGGGAAGCAUCGAGUUGUUUUGUCGGUCUCGUCCUGGCCCGUCUGGGUGCUGAUACCUGGGGCCGAUGAGUCGAGGAGAUCUCUAGGCUCGAGCAUGAGCUAGGCGAGGCCUCGAGCAACCUGAAGUAGUCCCUAGAAGCAAACUCAGAUUAUGAGGGGAAACUUGCUCAGGAGGCGGCUGAACAAGAGAUCGUCGCAGCUAGGGUGGUGAGUUGGAGAAACGGGAAAGAGAAAGCAUGGCCGAGGUAGCCAAGCUGAAGGAGGCCUUGGAGAGGGAUGAUAACAGGAUCGUAGUGCUGGAGGCUGAGAGCUCGGAGCUACAGGCCGAGAAGGAGGCGGUUGAGAUCGACCUAGACAAAACAAGAUACUUUGGUGAUGUCGGGCCAAAGCUUCGAUCAGGUAGUCCGCCAGGCCCACCUUCUCUACAACAGAGCCCCACCGUCCGAUAACUUCGACCCCAACAUGGACGUGUUCGAAGGCCGGAUGGUGCCUUGUGAGGAAAUGCAUGCCUUAUAGAGCGCAACCCGACCUGCUCCAACCGAGGGUGUUGAAGACAACGACCAGUAGGUUUAGACUUUAGCUUUUUGUUAUCCUCGACCAAGAUGUGGCCUUCUUCUUCUUAUCCUCCAAGGACGGGGUGUAGCCUCCACCUUCUUUGCUUGCUUAAUGAAUCAUGCCAACUUUUGUUCCAUUAUUUAUUUUUAAAAUGUACUUGUUAAAACAAACCGAUAAUGAUUAACCGAUCAAUAUAACUUUAAUAAGUUUUUCACAUGUGUUUGAUGUCGGCCGAUACGAUUGUGUAUACUUGAAUGAAGUGUUUAAGGUGUCGGUAAGGUAUGUCGUUUAGAGAUACAUCCUAGAGCAAACCACGUAUUCGGGUGUCGAUAGGGUAUGCCGGUUAAGGCUACAUCCUUGGCAGCACCAAGUCUUUAAGGUUUCGGUAGGGUAUGCCGGUUGAGGCUACAUCCUUGACCGAACCAAGUCUUAUGGGUGUCGGUAGGGUAUAUCGAUUAAGUCUAUAUUCUUGAUUGCACCAAAUCUUUAGGGUUUCGGUAGGGUAUGCCGGUUGAGGUUACGUCCUUGACCGAACCGAGUCUUCUUGGUGUCGGUAGGGUAUGCUACAUCCUUGACCGCACCAAAUCUUUAGGGUUUUGGUAGGGUAUGCCAGUUGAGGCUAUGUCCUUGAUCGAACCGAGUUUUGGGAAGUGUGUAAGUGUAAUUUGUUUGAACACAUUAAAUUUGAAGAGGAAAUGACUCAUUAAAACCUGUAUGACCGAAAACUCUCCUUAGGGAAAAAACGGUCGGGCGAGGAAAGAGUGCAUGAAUUUUAUUUCAUGUUUAACUGUAGUAAAAUUUGAUGUGCGUGGCAUUCCACAUCCUCGGUACAUUUUUUCACGACAGCCACUCUAGGUGGUAUGCCCCCUAGCUACAACUUCUCGGACUCGGAAGGGGCCUUCCCAAUUGGAUGAGAACUUGUCGUCAUUCUUUCUCAGACAAGGUCUUCCUUCUUAAAGCUCCUUAACUGAAGCUUUGUAUUGCACCGCCUCAUCGCUCGGAGUUUACAUGUAGCUUCGCAAAUCUUACUCUUGUCUCGGAGCUCAUGUAGUAGGUUAAGUCCAACCGACAGACUAUCUUAAUUUAGAGAUAAAUCAAAUAGUUUCCUUCUGAUGGUAGACUCGCCUACCUCGACUGAAAUCAUAGCCUUGGUGUCGUAUGUUAGGUUGUAGAGCGUUUCUUAAGUCGACAUCUAGGGUGUGCAGCGAUAUGCCCAUAGAACUUCCAACAACUCCUCGGUCCACCGUCCCUUCAUCGUGUUGAGUCGCUUCUUCAAUUCAUUCAAGACGACCUUAUUCGCGGUCUCGACCUGCCCAUUGGUUUGGGGGUGUUUGAUCGAGCUUAUUAUUGAUUUGAUACCAAGGUCCUCAUAGAAGAAUUGGAGCCCUCGGUCGAUAAACUGCCUCCCAUUAUCAAUUAUUAUGGUGUGCGACACUCCGAACCGACACAUGAUGCUUCUCCAGACAAAAUUUUGAACAUUCUUUGUCGAGAUGGACGCAAGGGGUUCGACCUCGAUCCAUUUGGUGAAGUAAUCGACCCUGACCAAGAGAAACUUUGCUUGUCCUUUUCUUGGGGUUAAGGGAUCGAUGAUGUCUAUUCCCCAGAUGGCGAAUGACCACGAAGAUGUCAUGUUGUGUAGGGUUUUUGGCUUAAGGUGAUGCAGAGGACCGAAGUUCUGACACUUGUCACAUUUUUUCACAUAUUCAGCGCAAUGACCUUGGACAGUCGGCUAGUAGUAGCCGACCCUUAAAACUUUGACGGUCAUCGUUCAUGCACCCGAAUGAUUACCACACACCCCUUCAUGGAUCUCUUUUAGGACAUACUCUGCUUGCUCCUCGGUGACACAUUUCAACAAUGACCUUGAGUAGUCUCUCUGGUACAGGUCCUGGCCAAUCAUGAAAUACCUUGAGCAUUGUUGUCUCAUUGUCUUUUCUUCCACUAGUUUGCAUGUGUCGUGCUCUAGUGAGUGCGCUCUUGUUCCAACUCCUACGGUCCACUCUUCACCUCUCUCCAGCACUCAAGGCGCUCCACUAGCUGAUGCAAAUUCCUUUUCGUACCACAAAUUAAUAGGACGACUUAUCUAUUUGACCAAUACCAGACCAGACAUCACAUUCAGUGUGAACAAGCUUAGUCAGUUUGUCUCAACACCCACAAUUUCUCGUCAAGAGGCUGCCUUUUGUAUCCUUCGGUAUCUAAAGAAUGCACCUGGAAAUGACAUCUUUAUAUUAGCAGCAAGCACUCCUCAGCUCAAGGAAUAUAGCGACUCAGAUUGGGCUAACUGUCUAGAGACAAGAAAGUUUGUCACAAGUUUUUCUAUUUAUCUUGGUGAGUCUCUUAUUUUUCCUAGAAAUCCAAGAAGCAACAAACGAUCUCCAGAAGCUCAUCUGAAGUCGAGUAUCGUGCACUAGCCGCCACCACAUGCGAGAUUCAGUAGUUAACAUAUCUGCUAUGAGAUCUUCAUGUUCAUUCCAUCCAACCAGUAAUACUCUACUGUGAUAACCAGUCCGCAAUACAAAUUGCAUUAAAUCAAGUCUUUCACGAACGCACUAAACACAUAGAAAUCGACUACCAUUCCUUUCUCCAUGCAAACAUCAGAUAUUUUAACCAAGCCUCUACCUCCAUCUACAUUAAAACUACUACAAUCCAAGUUGGGUAUGAAAAACUUUUUUAUUCUUUUAGGCCCCUGUUUGUUUUGGGCUUUUCCUUUUGGGCUUCAGUUCUUCUUCUGAACACCACCAUAUUUUAUAUAUCUCUUGUACUCUUUCUUUGACAUGUAAGAAAUAAAAUACUCAGUAUCUUUCUCUCUUAUCUCACACGUGUUCGGUUGCUUUCUUCAACCACCGUGCUAGGGUCUCUUUUUCUGGUUCUUUGGCUCUCUUUUCUUCUUAUCAGGUGGUGCAAAGCUUGUAUUGCUUCUCCUUACCUCUGUCGGUCCGAUCAAGCAACGUUGAGGAUACGCACCAACUCUAUUAGUGAGGAUGCAGAUACAACUGAAGUUAUUUAAAAAUGUAAGGAUAAUUUAAAAUUUUUAAAAAAGUUAAAACUUUUUUUUCUCAUAAUAUUGAGGUGUAGAGUAAAGUAUGAAUGUGCAAAAAUAAUUUACCUUGAGCACAUACACUUAUGCACUUAGUGGCGCAAAUAUAAACAUUUUCUUACAACAAAAAAUAUCCAUACAAUUAUUCAAAGACUAAAAUGUUAUAAGCUUUUCCACAAUCUUAAUUUUAAUGAAACGUAUGCAAUAUAACAUAACAACAAAAAUAUAUAGCUAACGAAUCUUAAUUAAAACUUAAUCAAAGUUCAAUCCCCUGUCUUUUCCAAUUUUUAUCUAAUUAAUUAGAUACAUUAAUUAUACCUAAUCCAUGAAUUUCACGAGAUAUUAUUAGCCCCUAUUGGACGAUGCUUUGCUUGCCUGUUUAAAAAAGGGUAUUCAUAAACUUGCACGCUUCAAGGCGUAAGUUAAUCUUGUAAUUUGAAUUAUCUUUGACGCCACGCAUUCCACUCAAGAAAUACAAUUUAACCAAAUACUUUGAAUAAAUAAUAAGUAUCGCUUCAGCUACGUGACUAAAAACCAUUACCGUCCCUGUUAAUUUUUAGUUGGAAGUUCACUUUGUCUCACAAAAGCAAGCAUUUGCAUCCUUUUUUACCUAUUGACCUGUCACUGUGAGUGUUAGAUUGAAUUCAUGCACAAUUGCGAGAUAACAAGUAAAAAAUGUACACUACUCUUGGUCAUAUGAUUAGCUUUGAGGUCAUGCUUAUAUAUAUAUAGGGUGCUUCUAAGUGAACCCUUAAUCUGCAUGUACUGUGGCUAAGCGUAGAGAGGUAGCUUUCCCUGUAAGAUAGUUGAAAUCUUACCUAGAAUUCUAGGUAAGUUAGUUCUUCAGUCAUAUCAAAGGGAAAUUAAGAGUGGCAUAGAGUGAGUGUGGGAAGGGAAUCAUGGAGAAAUUGUAUGGUUUGAGUAAUCUCUUCAUGACAGUGUUUCUUCACAACUUUGCCAUAUUCAUGGUGGUACCAGCCAUCACUGAUGUCACAAUGGCUGCUCUUUGCCCCGGACAAGAUGAAUGCUCACUCGCAAUCUACCUCACUGGUUUUCAACAAGCGGUGAGUUUUCUUCACUCAUUCUGCUUUUUAUCUUAUGUUUAAAUUCCUUAAUCUGUGAUUAGUUUUGAGUCAGUUCUUCAUUAGACAGUUUUUUAUUUUAUUUUAUCAAACUUACGUUCUUUUCGGAGAUUCUAGACUACUCAGUAAUAACUUUUCAUUGAUAAGCAACCCAAAACAUAGGUAAAAGGUACAAGUAAGAACUGCCAUGGAACCAAAUGAAACUCACUUUCUUCCAUAUUUAACAAAUUCAGUAAAGUGUAUAUGUUUUCAUACGCAUAUUUCUGUGUGUAAAAAUUCCAUCCUUUGGAGGAAAAAAUUCUGUGAAUUAACUUUCAUACGUGUUAGUCCAAGGCAUUCAUCCCUCUCACGAGUUUUUAUAUCUUAAGGAACUUAAAUAAAUUAACUUCUUAUUACAUAAUAAAAAAGAAAAAAAUGUAGUUUUUGUAACGAAUAAUAUAAAUUUCUUUGCAUUAAUAGUUUCCUUUCACUUCCUAUUAAAUUAUGAUAAAUUUAUAGUCGUGAGUUUGUGAUGCUUAUUUAUUUUCACAUCUAUUUUUUAUGUAUAUACGUGAGAGAGGUAAGCUUGUCUGUUAAACUAUUGCUGACGAAAUUAACUUUUUAAUUUUUUCUUCUCCUUUCAAUAUCGAUAAAAAAAAGUUGUGGAUGAAAAGCUUGAUAUACAUUUUAUUUUUUUUACAAUAUAUACCAUGAUAAAGAUAAACAAACUAAAUAUAUUUUCUGUGCGUUAAGUUCCAUAUUUUAUUACAUUCUUUUUGUUUCUUAUAUUUUUUUUUCUCUCUGCAUAUAAUGCUGUCAAAAUUUAAUGCAUAAAUAACGUUACUUUUCUUUUCCUAGUGUAAAAACAUUACCUUUUCUUAAUAAAGCUAAGAUUUAACAACUAUUCUUUACAAAAUUGAUGUCUAAGCCCGUCACUACUAAAAAUAAAAUAAAUUGAAUUUACAAUUUAAAAUAAUAAAAAUGGCAUGUAAUAUCUCUGGUUAAUUUGGGACAAAUAAGAUUUUAAAAGAUUAUUGUCCACAUUGACUUGAAUUUGUUGAUCAAUGAAUGACACUUCAUUUGUUGUUGUACCCAUCAAUGAGGAGUGGGUUAUAGACAAACUCAAAAUUAAAAAGCAAAUAAUUAGUGGUAAAGGUAAAUUGUGAUGGAGAUAACGUCUAUUUGGGUGAGUCUGUCGCUACUAGAGAAAGAAAUUUCCUUGUGAUUUCGUGAGCCUCGUAGGUUCCCAUUUUGUCUAACUUGUUACACAAAUUAAAAACUAACUUGGUUGGUUCACUUUUAUAAGCAGUUAGUGUUUGAUGCAUUUCCAUGCUUUUUCCUCCACUUGUCGUGGUUUUCCUUACGUUGUCUUUUGUCUCGUCAUAUGUGGAUCAAUCAGUUUUUUUAUCAAUAGUACAUCUUUUGUCCGCCUUCAAAUAUUUGUCACUAUGUGGCCAAUUUCGACUAAUUUUUAUUGGGCCUAAUCGAAAAGGUAACGAGGGCUUCUUCUUCCUGCACCCCUACAUGUUUUUUCAUACACCUCCACAAUUUUCUAAAUCCCGAAACUGGCCUUAAUCUUUUAUUUGAAAAAGGGCAUCGUGGUUAUCAGAAAUCGGGAUCUGGGAGUGUGCUACGGAUUUAUCAAUUUGGAACUGAAUCAUAUUUUUUUUUCUGGAUGAGGGAGUGUUCUGGAAACAAAUUUUGCAUAAAUUAUUGAUUUCCAGAUUACUGAAUCCGGAAACCUAAUUCUAUUAUGGAUUGGUGGAUCCGGAAUGUUUUUUUUUAAUGUGAAAUGCAUAUUUUGUAUUACGGAUUGGUGGAUCUGAAAUUUUACCGGAAGUGUCAAUCCGAAAUUUUUAUGGAUUCCAUAAUCCAGAAUGCAAAAAAAUAAAUACAGUUCAAGUGCAUUUUAGGAUUAUUUUAUAAAAUAAUAGGGACAGUUUGGUCUUUGCAUAACAUUGUGCGGGUGCAGGAAGAAAAUUGUAGGGGUGCAGGAAAAAACUGCCGGUAACGAGUUAUGUUCAGGACAAAUCCUCAGUUUGGUCCAGUCCAUAUUUCAAAAUAAAAUAUAGUACUGUAUUAUUUAAUUACCAUCAGAACAUUUUUCAACAUCUCUCUUUCCUUGUUUAUUAUGUAACUAUGAGUUAAUCAGAUUUUGUUUUAUUCAUUAUAAGAACAGUAAUGGAAUUUGUAAGGAUCUUAGUUAUUUUUUAAAACAAUGGGGAAAAUGUUCUGUUGAUAAAGGUUAAACUUCUCCUUCAAUCAUUUAGGAAUUUUCAACUAGUUUUUUUCAACUAAUUAAAUCUUUGUAUCGUAUAAAUUUUAUUAAUUGAGUCUUGAAAGCUUUUAUAGUCUCCACAAAAUGAUUUUUCAGUGGUUUCAAGCCAAUACAAACUAAUCAUAGAGAUCUUUUUCCAAAUUAAGAACCAAUUCUUUUGAAAUGAUUUAGAAGGUGUAAUUUGUAAAUAACAUGUAGUUAGUAUGAGAGAUAAUGAAUUCCAUUUUUUAAGAGAGAAACCAAAUAAAUACUGCACCAAUAAUAUGGCAACCAUUUUUUUGGCAAAGUUUUAAUGAUAUGAAUAACAUGUUGUACUUUGUGUGGUAGUGUGAAUGGGUAAAAAAAAGUGCUCUCACCUUUCACUUUACAAUUUUAUUAAUAAUAAAUUAUUAUAUUCUUUUAAUAAAACUAUUAUAAGUAAAAUUUUAAAAUAAAAUUAUAAUAUAUUUGAUUGUUAAGUAGAUGUGUAUAUUACUUAAAGAUGACAACCUAUUAUUAUUCCUAAAAAAAAAAAAAAUUUGUUUAAAACUUUAAUAAUACAAAAAUAAUCAUUCAACAAUAGUCAUUACAAGAAAAUUAUUAAAUAAAAACUAAUUUUUAGAGACCAAAAUAAUUAGUUGUAAUACUAACUAAAUUAGAGAUCAUUUUAGAAACUAAAAAAAAAAUGUUUUUAAAUUAGUUUUUAUUAUUGUUAAAUAGUUUCUAAAUUGGUAUCUAAUUAGCAACUAAGGUUUUAACUAUCAAUUAUUUAGAUUCUAAAUUUGGUAGAAAAACCUUGAUUGCUAAUUAGAUACCAAUUUAUAAAUUAUUUAAUAAAAAUUAAUUUAAAAAAAAAAUUUAUUUAGUCUCUAAAAUGAUUUCUAAUUUAAUCAUCAUAACAAUUAAUUAUUUUUUUAUUUUUAAAAAUUGAUUUUUAUUUCAUGAUUUUCUUUGUAAUGACUAGUACGAAGUAUCAUUAAAAACAAGGUUAUUUGUGCAGAUGAUAGGAGUGGGCACGCUCGUGAUGAUGCCACUGUUGGGUAAUUUCUCCGAUAAGUAUGGGAGGAAGGCCAUUCUCAAAGUUCCUAUGAUCCUCACAAUCAUUCCCACAGGUAUUUUUAUGUUCAAUGGCUCUUCAAAAAUACACCCUAGACAAUAUACAGAAGAUAAAAGUUUAUCUAUAUAAUUAAUUAAAAUUAAAUUAUUUUACUUUUGUAGUUGCAUAAACAUGCAUGACAAUCAUCAAAUAACUAGUUUAAGUAAAAUAUACCUAAUUCCUUUUUAAAUACAAUCUUAAAUUCAAAUAUAUUGUAUGAAGAUUAAAAAAAUCACUAACUUUUAUAAGUUUGAAAUAAAUUUAAAUUUCACUUCUUCAUAUGUUACGAAAAUUAUUUAGAUCCUAUCAUAACGAAGUUUCCUAAAAUAACGAAGUUUGUUAAACUUAUUAGACCAUCCAUAAAUAUAUUGUAUCACACACGAGUUGAAAGAUCUUAACAUGAGAGAAUAUGUUGGAGAUUAUACAUCCAUUAGAGAUAACAACAUUUUAUAAUAUAUAACUGACUACAAAUCUCACCUUAUAAAUUGGUUUUAUAAAAUUGAGUUAGCUUAAAAUAUAUUUUAUAUCACAUAAAUUAGUAUUUAUUGUUUUUAAAUAAUAAAUUAUCUUUGUGUGACAGGGAUAUUAGCUUACAAUAGGACCAAAAAGUUCUUCUAUGUGUACUAUGUUUUCAAGAUACUCAUUUCAAUGGUUUGCGAAGGAAGCGUCCCUUGCCUCGCUCUAGCUUACGUGGUAAGUCUUCAUUUAUGCAUGUGCUGGUGGUACUUUUUGCACAUCUCUAUUUUCUAUGAAGUAACAAGCUGGAGUAUCACAAUCUCGUGUUUGGUUGAACAACCCGUUUUCAAACCUCUAUUUUUUCAGGCAGAUAACAUUCCAGAAAGUGGAAGAAGCACUGCAUUUGGCAUUAUUUCAGGGAUAGGAUCUGCAGCCUUCGUGUGUGCCACUUUAUCAGCUCGAUUCUUAUCUACUGCCCAAACGUUUCAGGUAUUUUGCUUUUCCUUUUCUCUCUCCAAUUACGAUAUCUUAAUCUCAAUUCUUUUUUCAUCAUUGCAAUGCUAACUCAUUUUUCCCUAAAUAAGGUUUCUACUCUUAUUGCUGUGAUUGGAGCAGUGUACAUGCAACUUUUCCUUCGAGAUUCAGUCAUUGAUGAUGACCAACACCUUCACACCCCAAUCAUUUCACAACAGAAGCUCGCAAUUUCUAAGGUCGAUAGAAAAUUUGAAAGUAACAAGCCUCUUCUUAAAGCAUUGCGUUCUUUUCAGGACCUAGCCUCCUUCUUCAAUAGCAGGUGCAACAAUUUUCCUUCUUCUCCUCCAAUCAAACAAACAUUCUUUUUUGUGUGUGUCAUAAUUAUACACGUUUGAUUGGAUUUUCCAGCUUCACUAUUACACAAGCAGCAAUUGUUGCAUUCUUUAGUAACCUUGCUGAUGUUGGCCUUCAUGGAUCAAUGCUGGUAUUUUCUUUAACACCCUUCAUAUACCCUUUUUUUUCAUUUUCAUUCCUGUCCAUGUUCCAUUCAUAUAUCUAUAUAUAUAUAUAUAUGUAUAUAUUAUUGAUUUGUUUUUAUUUGUAAGUAGGUGUAGAGAAAGAUUGUGCAUUUUUAAAUCAGUGUUAUGGCAUACGUUGAUGCUUACACAUUCUUUAUUGCUUGAAUCUGGUUCCUUAGCUUCAAACCAAACCAUAUAGUGUCCAAGAAUGUUGUAUUUAUAUAUCUUUACUUAAGAUCUCUCUGUUGGCUUAUUGAAGUCAUACACUGCUACUAUUUGAUAUAUUUAAUUAGCAAUUUACUGAUGUUUAAUUUCUUUCAUUUUUAACCUUUAUAGACUGGAGUAACCAUGACAAUCUGAAACUUACAAUUGUAUUAUCUUUGACAUUUUUUCUAUAUAUAACUAGAGCUAGUUAGUCAAGUUUUAGUUCUUGGUAACACUUUUUUUUUUCUGUGUGCAGUAUUUCUUAAAGGCUCAAUUUCAUUUUGAUAAGAAUCAAUUUGCUGACUUGAUGGUCAUAUCUGGAAUUGCAGGGACUGUGUCACAGGUAUUUUUACAUGGUUAUAUUUCAACUAUCAACUGACAUGCCUCUUGUUAUUUCAUAAAUCUUCCAUUUCUUUGAUUUUCUAUAUUACGAAUCUAAAUAUUAAACAUUGAUUUUCAUAGCUUCUUAUUAUGCCCAUUUUGGCUCCUAUUCUGGGUGAGGCAAGGCUACUUUCAAUUGGACUAUUCUUUCAUUGUGUACAUGUAAGUAUUCUUUUAAUACAAUUAUAAAACAUUUUCUCUUUUGUGAAGUUCUAAACUUUUAAAAUGGGAUGCAGAUGUUCCUUUACAGCAUAGCAUGGUCCUCCUUGGUAUGUCUUUUGCAACUUUAUUUCUAAUGUCAAUUAUUUUUCCAUGUAUAACAUCAUUAUAAGGUUUAAACUUUAGAUGGAGUGGUUGAUUAUUCACACUUUUGUAUAUGCCUCUAUUAUCCUUUUGUUGUCCAUGUUUCCUUUUUUCUUUUUAUGUUGUAUAAUUUAUACUGUGUGAAUGUUGACAGGUUCCUUAUGCUUCUGCCAUGUUCUCAAUUUUAUUUGUUUUUUCACAGCCUUGUGUGAGUUCUGUUCCUCAUUUUGUCUUUCUAUAUUCUUUAAAAGCAUUUUUUUUUUUCAUUCUCAUCCUUCAAAUUAAGUAAUAAUCUAAUUUUACAUUCGCAGAUACGAAGUAUUGUGUCAAAACAAGUUGGUCCCCAUGAGCAGGUACAGAGUCAAUAACACUGAUUAACGUUAAACAAGCUGGUUGGAAUUGAUUUUCUUAUAAUAAGUAAAGCCUAAUUUCAGUUGUAGAAACAAACGAUGUUCUGUCUAAAUAAGUUGAUUUAUGAGUUAGUGUUUUGUGAUAUGAGGGCAUGACUAUUCGUAUUCUGUACAAUUUUCUUGCAACAAAAUGUAGGGUUGUUGCUUUAAUUAAGAACUAAUGUUCAAAUGUUUUUACUAAUAAGUAGUCUAUUUAAGUUUAACUCAACCUUAGUUUAUCCUUAAUUAUAUACUAUCAAAUGACAUUAUUUCUAGUUAAUGUGUCAUUUUUCAACUUUUUUCUUUCUUUCCCUUUUCUGAUAUGAGUUUGCAUGCAGGUCAUAUGUUCAGAUACUAACAUGAGUGUAAUUUACUCAAUUUUUAUUGAAGUAAAGAAACAACUCGGUUUUGCAUGAUAAAAGGCUUUUAGUUUGUUUAAUGUGUCCCCCUCAUUUCUCUUCCUUUUUAGGGAAAGGCUCAAGGUUGCAUCUCUGGCAUAUGUUCAGUUGCACAUAUAGUUUCUCCCUUAGUUUUCUCUCCAUUAACAGGUGAGAGCAUGUGAAUAUGUCAUAUUAGAUUUAGAUAAUCAUCCCAAUUUAUUAACAAUUACCCUUUUCAAUUAUCAGCUCUCUUCCUUUCUGAAAAAGCACCUUUCGAUUUUCCCGGAUUCAGUAUAAUGUGCAUUGGUUUUGCUUCGGUAAGAACUUAACCUGACUCAAAAUGUUCUAUUGUUUUUUCUCCUAAUAUUGAUCUCUAUAUUUAUUUGAUUAUCCUGACUUCCAAUAUCUUUCUUACAUACAAAUGUGGAUAGUAAUUUGUCUAGUUAUGGUAUUAAGUUGUACUUGGGUGAUUCAUUCACAUAAUGCAGAAACACAACAUAAAAUUUUUUUAUGCGGGUCGGGUUGGUUCGUCCCGCAAAGUGAGUGCGGACUAGACUUUUCGUCUCACCCCGUAUAAGGACUGGUCUGUUGCUAUUCAAAUUUUUUUUUUUAGAAAUUCAAUAAUUUUUUUUUUACUUUUUCUCUUGAAAAAUUGUCAUAAAAAACAAAAACAUUAGGAUUAAUACAACAAUAAACAUUAAUUGAAUGUUACAUAAUCCAAGUAUCAACCUUCCAAUAUUCUUGACUCACACUCACUACCUAACAUAUCUGCUAUUAUUUAUUCCAAAUUACAUGAAAAUAUCAUAUAUGUAUUUUCAUUCCCAAAAAUAGAUAAAAAAAAGAGUCUUAAGGAAAUUAUAACUCCAAUGACCCUUGUAAGUUUCUACCCCAAAAUGAAAAAGGAAAAAAAACAAAACAUUUACUCAAUUGCUGCCAAAGGCAUUUUUUUUUGUUUGCGAGCCAGCCCGCUCCGCUCUGCUGCUGGCCCGCGCAAACCGCGGAUUAUGUGAGAUGGGCUAAUGCGGGUUGAAAAGCUGAGUCCAUCCCGUGUUUUUUACCAGUGGACCGCAAUGCGACCGUGCGGUCCGACCCACUUUGUCAUCCCUACCAUUAUACAUAAUUCUUUUGGUAUUGGAAUUUGUAAUAUUCAAGGACAAAAUUAGAUCUUAGAUAUCAAUAUCAAUGGGUAAAUUGAAUUAUAAACCUCAGAAGUUUUUAUAAGUAUACGUUGUAUUGUAUGUAAUCCAAUUCUUGAUUUAGGAUAUGUUUGGAGAAACGUGGGUAUAAGAAUUUUUAUAAAAAAAAAUAUUAUUUUUUAGAAGUUAAAAUUAAUUUAUGCAAAAGUUAAAUGGUGUAGAUAGAGACUCUCUCAUAUGGUUUUUUUAGAUUUUUAUUUUUAAUUUAUAAAUAUAUCGUUUUUUUUUUCUUUUAUAAAGAAGAUUUUCUAAAUAUAUCCUUGACUCAUUUAUGUUAGAUUCUCUUAUUUAGAUUUUUAUACUAAAAUCUAGUUAUAUGUCAUUUUAAUUGUAAAAAGGAAAGUUGUUCUAUAUAUUAUUAUAUUUUAAGUAUAUUUAGGCCUGAUUUUACUUUAUUUGCAUUGACUUUUAUAUUUAUGUAUUUACGUGCUCUCUAUGGUUGAAUUUUGUUUUACAGAUGGUAUCUUUUAUUCAAAGUAUGAUGCUUCGAGUGGCUCCUCCCAUUUUGAGUUAGGCAAAUAGAAAUAAGUUAGAGCCUUUUUAAUUUUAACGGUAGCGAAUAUUUAUGGUCUAUACGAGUUUUGUCUUUAGUGAUGCAUUUGGGAAACAAUAUGUUAUAUAAGUUGAUUUCUAUAAUCGACAUUUGAUAUACUUUUCAGUUUCAUAACUUUUUAGUUUUACGGUCAUUGUUAUUUUGUUGGCUUAAUUGCUUUAUGUAUUGUUUAUUUUGAAAUAAAAGUUUCAAUCAGGUUUUUAUAUUAUUUUACACGAUCAAGUUUUUCAAUUUUAAAAAUAUAAUAAUACAUCAAUGUACUUAUUUAAAAUUCAAUUAAGUUUUUAUAUAUUUUAAAAUGCAAUGAUAUGAUAAUUUUAUAUGUUGAAAUUGUUACUAAUUUAAUGAUGUAUUAUUGUAAGUCAGUUAUAAAUUAUAUUGUUCAUAUAUUAAAAUUAUUAAUGAUUAUUUAUAUAUAUAAUUUUAAUAUCAGUUAGAUGAAAAAUAAUUAUAUUAUUAUUUUUCAACCUAUUUUGUGAAAUAAUGAAAUUAAAAAAUGUUAUUAAACCUAUUUUGUUAUCACGUUGCAACUUGUAGCCAUACAGUUGUACUGUUGAAUUUUAUUAUUUUAUAAGCGCGUUUCAAUAAAUGUUAAAUUUAUUUUUAAAAUUUAAAAAAAUCAUCCAUUUUAGUUUAUGAAAUGAUUUUUUUCUUUAUUAAAGCUUCUGGAUUCUCUACUGGCGCGACCGAAUCAUUCGGAGAGUCGAUCAGGAACUCGAUCACUCGACCACGACAAGGAGGUCAUGUGAUGACACGUGACCGACCGACCCAUGAUGACGAGCCAUGGAUUUACCAAGUCAACAGGGUUAAUCCAUAAUUAAGAAACCCUAAACAUGAACCAACCCCAUAAUCCAGCCCACCAACGAAGGUCCAUUAAGGUAUUAUAAAUAGCACAAAUUCCAAAAACCAGGUACGUCAUUAUCUACAGUACUCUGACAACUGAGUGCCGACACCCUAACUGACUUUAUCGUUAGGGUGCCUUCUGCAGGUACCCUCCCAGCCUGUGUUACCGCACGACCGAAAGAAGGAAGGUCAAACAGGAAACUAAGAGUAUAGGUGACCGACGAGAGGAAGAGCAACACAAUUUUUCUCUAGGCCCCAACACUCGUUUGAGAAAAGUUAGUUUAUAAUGACUACAUAUUAUCAUUAAAAGAAUGGGAUAAUCAUAUGUGCCGUCACAUUUUUUAUUAAUUGGGAUAAUCAUGUAAUAUUAUUUGGGAGUUAUAUUUGUAGUCUUUAUUCCUCAUGGAAGAUUCACUUCUAAUUUUUCAGUAAUUUUUUUACUGACGUCUCUGAAUAAUUUUUAAAUUUUUCUUAAUUUUGUGAUCAUUAUUUUUUAUUAUGUUUAAUCUCUCUAUCAAAUAUAAAUAUAUAAAAUAUGUAAAAUAGAUGUUAAAAAGGGAAAUAAUAAGAACUGCAUAGGUUGUAGAAGAAUAGUUGUAUGGUAGUAACAGUAAUUUAAAAUUAUGGAGGGAUAUGGAUCUGUUAAGGUAGGAAAUGGAAUGAGGGCCCAAGGAGUAAAAAAGGCCCCACAAAGUAUUUAUUGGGCUGACACGAGAGGAUCUUGUUCCCAUAACCAUUGCAUAAGAUCUCCUAAUCCUGCCAUUUACACGUGUUGACGUGUCCAAAAUUAGACGCCAACGGCAACGAACAGAAGAGAACGAAUGGCCAAUCCCGUUACCCUCUCUUUCCCGCGAACGCCACCAUAUUAAGUAACUUAUAAUAUUAAUUGAACACAGCAUCGCCAGUGGCAUUCCAUUCGGUUUCGCCGCCGAACAAAUAAACCGACGGAGUAAUAAUGCUGUAGCCUCCGUAACGCCGUAUCGUGGUAGCGAGCGUUCGAAGGUUCCGCUUCGCAUUAUUCAACGACGCUCCCUAUCACUCUCCGUCGCAAAACCUCCUUCAAUCUAAUCUCACCCACCGGUGACCCCUCCGCCAUCACAAUGCCUCAAAAACACAACACCGUUGUCUACCUCCAUGGGACCCUCGAUCUGGUAAUCGUCGAGGCUCGCUUUCUUCCCAACAUGGACUUGCUCUCCGAGCGCGUUCGAAGGUUCUUCUCCGCCCUCAACACUUGCAGUGCCUCCAUCACCGGAAAACGGAAGCUCCACCGCGCCCGCCACCGCCACCGCAAGAUCAUCACCAGCGAUCCCUACGUCACCGUCUGCCUUGCCGGCGCCACCGUCGCGCGCACCCGCGUGAUCUCUAAUUCGCAGAACCCUACCUGGGACGAGCACUUCAAGAUCCCGCUCGCGCACCCGGCCGCGCAGGUCGACUUCUUCGUCAAGGACAACGACAUGUUCGGAGCCGACCUCAUUGGAGUCGUCACCGUCUCCGCCGAGAGGAUCCUCUCCUGCGAGCCCAUCAGCGACUGGUUCCCGAUCAUCGGCUCGUUCGGGAAGCCGCCAAAGCCUGACUGCGCGCUGCGCCUCGCCAUGAAAUUCACGAGGUGCGAGGACAAUCGCAUGUUCCGGUCCAUCGACGAACCGGAUCCGGACCGGUUCGUGGUUCGUGACUCGUAUUUCCCAGUCCGACACGGAGGGGCUGUGACGCUGUAUCAGGACGCGCACGUGCCUGAGGGGAUGUUGCCGGAGGUUGAGUUAGACGAGGGUGUGGUGUUUGAGCAUGGGAAGUGCUGGGAAGAUAUAUGCCACGCCAUUUUGGAAGCGCACCAUUUGGUUUACAUUGUGGGUUGGUCCAUCUACCAUAAGGUUAGGCUCGUGAGAGAGCCUACCAAACCUUUACCUAGCGGUGGUAGUUUAAAUUUGGGGGAGUUGCUCAAGUACAAGUCUCAAGAAGGUUUGCGAGUUUUACUAUUGGUUUGGGAUGAUAAGACUUCGCACAGCAAGUUUUUCAUUAACACGGUAUGUACAUUUUAUGUUUCAGCAUUCCUUUUGUGGUGAAAAUGUAAUGUUCGUUGACGAUGACGAUGUUCAAUCGUGUUUCUGUUUUUUUUUUAUUAUUUAAAUGUGAAUUUUACUGUACAAACUGAUGAAUGAUAGCUUAGAAGUUUUAAUUUAAUCUUCUUGUACAUGUUUGCUAUUGUAUACAAUUGUAUUGAGGAGUGAGAACAUAGUGAUAUUCACUCUCCCUUAAAACACUUGGCAUAUGUGUGAAAUGAAAUCUUUAAAUAUAUAACAUGAAAUCAUAUUUAAAUUGUAGGAUUGAAAAAAUAAUACAUGAUUUUGUCAAUUAAACUGAUAUGUGACCGCUCACCACCAAGUUAAAAAGUUAAGCAUCCAUACAUUGUGGUAUUGUUCAGAUUUUGUAGUAUUGUGCAUCUUUGAAUUAAAAUUGACAAAUUUUAUUUUGGAGGAGUUUUUAUUUUGUAAACUGGAUUUGCAAAAGAAACUCAAAUCUUAAUUUUAUGAAAACUUCGUUUCAGACAAAAUAUAGGUGUGCAAACACACUAAGGAUAACCAAUUAUGAUAAGAAACUGAGUUUAUUUCCCAAACAGAAUCUAGACAUAGCUGUAAAUGUAGUUUUUAUUUAUUUUUUAGCUUACAAAGUUUGAGGAGUAACAUGUUGAUGUGAUUUUUGUUCCUUCGUUGGAACGUGCUUGUGACGUAUUGAUACAGCCUUUUAGGAAUGGUUUGAUGAUCUUCCUUCCGUUAUUGAUAUUGGAUUGGUAUUCAAAUUGGACCUUACAGUAGUACCGCUCUUCAAUUUUGAUUUAAAUAGCCAGAGACAGAUUACGAUUUCAAAUCACCUGUUGUAUGGGCACAUGGCUGUGUGUUCAUCGUCUAAGUUCUAACUUAUAUUAUAUGCACUUCGAUUUUGUACUUCCCAGUUGCUUGAACACCGAUACCGAUUCGGACAUAUUUGCUUUUUGUUUGGCAUUCUGCCUAGUUGAAUAUGGUGUUUGUUGAGUUUUUUCUUUUCGCAGCAUUACAAGUUAGUGAAUUUGAUUGCAGACUGGAGUAAUGCAAACGCAUGAUGAAGAAACUCGAAAGUUUUUCAAGCAUUCUUCAGUUAGAUGUUUGCUUUCACCAAGAUAUGCCAGCAGUAAGCUUAGCAUUUUCAGGCAGCAGGCAUGCUUUAUGCUAUGGUUUAGUAGCUUUCCCAGAUUUUGUCAUUUUUCUUUUAGAAAGUUCUUGAUUACUUGAUCACGUUUGCUUUCCAUCUUUUCAGAAUGCCUCUCUAAUUUUAAUAUAUGCAUAUGAGGGACGGAUCCUAACGUUGUUAGAUUUUAAAUGAUAAAAUAAUAUUUCUUUGUCUUGAUAGACAUUAAACACGAGAGGCCAUACCAAAAUCUAUAAAUGUUUAUGAAGAGAGAAGCAGAAACAAAUUUUUACUUGACAAGAUCAUGCAAAAUGUAACAUGAAUUUAAUUCCCUUUCACAGGAUAAAUUCCUUCCUUGAAUUUUGCAUUGAUGUGUUAAUGAAUUAGUGGGAAACCUUCCUUUUUGUAUUGCCCAAACUGCUUGCCUGGCAUAUGCAAACUUUUAAUUUAACAGUUAACCCAGAAUUUUUUUUUUGUUAAUUUAAUAAUCAAGAGUUGAGAUUUUUUAAUCUCAACAGAGUUGCUUUUCUGAAAAUACGUUAUUUUUGUUUUCGAAAAAUUGAAAAACAUGUUGACUAUAUUACUUUGACGCAAAACUUCAGGUUGUUGGAACGCUCUUUACACAUCAUCAGAAAUGUGUGAUUGUGGAUACUCAAGCACACGGGAAUAAUAGGAAGAUAACUGCAUUUAUAGGUGGUCUAGAUCUUUGUGAUGGCCGGUAUGAUACACCUGAGCACAGAAUUUUUCGCGAUGUUGACACUGUUUAUCAGGACGAUUUUCAUAAUCCCACAUUUUGCGUAAGUUCAUAAUCUCUGAGUUACGUAGAAGUUGUCGGAUUCCAAAAUAUGCAUCGAUUACACACACACUCAUAAAAGCUUUUGUUUUUAGGACGAUAUAUGUCCUGUUUCUGUUUCCUUCUCUAAUAAGCAAAAGUAGACUUGUUUUAUUCAGUGAGGUUAAUUAAUAAGACAAUAGAUAUUAGUGAUUUCUUAGUUUGAUGUAUAGAUAUUCACAAGGGCGUUGUUUUAACAUAUUAUAAUUGUUUAACAUGUUAAAAAUAGUGACCGAAAACUUUCAGGCCUUCCACUCACUCGGCAGGUUUAGCAUGUUAUACUGUUGUCAUCGGCACUUCGCAUCAAGUAGUUGCUUCAUAAAUAUAAACUGUCGUUUGAUGUUUCUUUGAUACCGAUAUUGAGAUCAUAAGUGUACAGUUACCAACUGAAAUUUUUCCUGUCUUCCACUUUUAUUAAUAGACGGGAACCAAGGGUCCAAGGCAACCAUGGCAUGAUUUACAUUGCAAAAUUGAAGGCCCUGCUGCAUACGAUAUACUCACUAAUUUUGAGCAGCGUUGGAAAAAGGCCACCAGAUGGUCUGAGUUGGGUCGAAAACUCAAAAGAGUAUCUCACUGGCACGAUGAUUCUUUGAUCAAGUUAGAACGCAUCUCUUGGAUUCUUAGUCCUUCUGAAUCAAUUCAAACCGAUGAUCCUGAACUAUGGGUUUCAAAGGAAGACGAUCCUAAAAAUUGGCAUGUUCAGGUCCCUAGUUCACUGUCUUUAAGUGUCUUCUGCUUCCUUUUUUUUUUCAACAAAGAUUUUGUUUAGUUUACUUUUUUAUGUUCUUCACAGGUUUUUCGAUCCAUAGAUUCUGGCUCUUUGAAAGGAUUUCCUAAGGAUGUAUUUGAAGCUGAGUCCCAGGUAAGUUAUCCAAACAUUGAAUUGCUUAAUAUUUAUAUUAAUGUCAUAGAACUUUUGGAUUUCCCUGUGUCGUUAAUUUCCUUUUUAUUUCCAUUCAUUGCAGAACCUUGUUUGUGCAAAAAAUUUGGUUGUAGACAAGAGUAUUCAAACAGCAUAUAUACAUGCUAUCAGAUCUGCUCAACAUUUUAUUUAUAUCGAGAAUCAAUAUUUUGUCGGAUCUUCCUUUGCUUGGCCAGCUUACAAAGAUGCAGGUUUUGGCAGAAUAUUGAUGCUUACUAAUGUAACUUGUUGCAUCUGUUAUUGCUCAUAAUUUCUAUAUAAGCACCUAUGACUACUAUUUAGCACGUGACAUGCAUUAUACUACUUUUAAGCUCAGAACGCUAGAAAACUCCUUAAACAAAAGGAAGAAAUAGACUUAAUUCUGAUUCCAAUAUUAGAUCAUUACAAUGAGUUUUAUAUUUAUAACAGAAUGAUACACACCUCGGUAUCCUAGAAUAAUGUUGUUACACACAAAAUAGAAACGAUAAUUGUUUCUUAAUAAUUUCCUUUUUGAACCUAGCUCACUCAUUUUUAUCAUUAAUAGAAGAUAAGAUAUGGUAUUAAUAUUCCUUUGGGCCUAACUGUAAGAAUGAGUUUGGAUCAUAUCACAAUACCGUUGUUUUUAGCUCCCAUGGUGUAAAUCGAACUUCUGCUUAACACAAUUGAUGAAUGAAAAACUGGGUCUAAGUAAAUUAUAAGGUAUUGACUACGAUUGUGUGGCCUGAGAAUAUCUGCAUCACUUGAAAGCUCUUGUUUUUCCCUCAAUAAAAGGCCACCUAGUGGGACAAGACUUGGUUAUUGACAUCGUUCUUUUCAUUAUUUUUUAGUAACAUUUUCUACUUAUCUAAAAUUCCAUUAUUUUUUAUUGAUCAGGCGCUGAUAACCUAAUUCCGAUGGAGUUGGCACUGAAGAUAGUCAGUAAGAUACGAUCCAAGGAGAGAUUUACAGUUUAUAUUGUCAUCCCAAUGUGGCCCGAAGGUACCCCUUCAUCUGCUACUGUGCAAGAGAUACUCUUUUGGCAGGUUAGUUAAAAAAUUACGUUGCUAGCUUAUCAUACAAAAAUCUAAAAUAGGAAAACAUUUGUUCGUUGAUCUAUUGCAAGUGUUAUAUUUAUUAAUUAAAAAGAAUUGGCAUUUUCAGGGACAAACUAUGCAAAUGAUGUAUGAUGUCAUAGCUCGGGAAAUAAAAGCUAUGCAACUUGACAGUCAUCCACUAGAUUAUCUCAACUUUUAUUGUCUUGGAAACCGAGAGCCGUUCAAAACUGAUUUUUUAAGCUCAAGUAAUUUGCCUCCAGAUAAUGGCGAAACGGUAAUCAUUCAAAUAUUUUCUGAGUUUGACACAUUAUUAAAGGAAGGAAUCAAUAAACUAGCAAUUGACAGGUUUUAGCCAGUUGUGAUAUACUUUGAGUUUAAAUAUAAAUAAAUUUAACUUAUUUCAGCUUAUUUAGUAACAUUUUUUCUAAAACACUUUUCAUUUAAUGGUGAUUCUAUUUUUAACGACUUCUUUUAAUUUAUAAUAUCAAGUUAGAGAUAUUUUAGAAAACAAGUUCUUGUCUUUUAAUUGCGAAGUAAUGACAAUGUACUUGUUGGUGGAUAGGUAGUUCGGGCCUAUUAUUCUUGUUUUGCAUUUAAUCACGUUCAAAUCUUUAUAUUAUCAGAUUUCAGCCUCACAAAAGUUCCGAAGGUUCAUGAUUUAUGUACAUGCCAAGGGAAUGGUUGUGGAUGAUGAAUAUGUAAUUCUUGGGUCUGCCAACAUCAAUCAACGAUCCAUGGCUGGAUCAAGAGACACUGAGAUAGCCAUGGGUGCAUAUCAACCCCGUCAUACAUGGAGUGCGAAAAAGGGGCAUCCACAUGGUCAGGUUUAUGGGUAUAGGAUGUCUUUAUGGGCAGAACACACGGGGAGCAUAGAAGGUUGCUUUAAGGAUCCUGAAAGUCUGGAGUGCGUGAAAAGUGUGAACAAUAUUGCUGAAGAAAACUGGAGAAAGUACAUAGCUGAUGAUUAUACUCCAUUGAAAGGGCACCUGAUAAAAUAUCCUGUGAAUAUAAAUAUCAAUGGGAAGGUAAAGUCCAUACCCGGAUUUGAGUCUUUCCCAGAUGUUGGGGGCAAGGUGCUUGGCUCCAGGUCUAACCUUCCUGAUGCUCUAACCACAUAGGCAUAGCAUACACUCUUAAUUUCUAACUGAAAAUGGGAGUAAGUACCAAAUCUCAGAGGGCACAUUGCCCAUGAUUUUUUUUUAAUCAUCUAUACGGUAUAGUAUGCAACAGGCUUCUUAUAGUAUUUAUUAGUGGACUGCCAUGUCACGCCGACAUUGUAUAUGUGUAUCAAUUCUUUUCUGCCAAAACGCUCCAACGUCCAAUAAACCAUUCAUUCAUUUCCCUUCCACUUGUAUAUUUGCAUCCCUAAUCCUUAAAUCACUCAUAACACAUGUUAAUAAUCAUCAUUGUACUGAUUCAAAUUUAACAUUUGAGUAGGAAAAAUAUUGGUAAUUUAUCUUACUGAUAAAUAUUUUUUCUAUACCAGAAACUAGUAUUUUCUUCUUUCUCUUUCAACCAUUUCUAAGUACCAUCCUUUUGUCUUUGUCUAUUUUAAAUUUAAUGAAUUUAUCUCUAAUUUUACUAGUAUUUCUAAAAGAUUUGUCAAUAGUUAAAAUAAAAUAAAAAUUAUACCAUGUGUGCUAAUCAAAAAGACAUUCUUGAAGCUGUAACUUUAAUAAAUUUAGAUGAUGCAUUAUAAUUUUAAUUCUUAAAAUUAAUAAAAUCAAUUUAGUCAAAUUUUCUUCUUCUCUCAUAAAUAUUAUUUUCUGCAACACAUUGAGUCUUUUUUUCAUCAAAGUAGAGAAAAAAAAAUGUACAAUCUCGUAAUGAAGGUUCUGCCUUGAUUACUACUAACUCAAAGUCAGACAUUAUCCUCAUGCGAAAGAUUAAUUGUGAAUCCCAACUCCAACAAUUUAAAAGAUCAGCAAGCAAUAUAAAAUAGAGUUAUAAACUGGUGUUUUUAUUAUUCAGUUAUCAAAAGUAACAUUUUUUUUAUAUAUUAAUAUCAUCUUCACCUGCAAAAUUUUGACUAAUACCUUUAGAAUCUCCCUACCCAAAUGAUACUUCAUCUUUCCCGAAAAUACGUCAUGUUAAAUUCAAGUUUCAUAAAAAAAUUUAACUUCACAAGCAUGCCUAAAUAAUGUAAUGUGUUCGAAAUAACUACAUUGUAAACCAUGCACAUGAAAAUGUCAAGUAUUUGAAGUUUGUAAACGUAAUUUCAUUAUAUUUAACUUAAUAUUUGAAUUCUGCAGACGCAAUUCCUUUAUAUCUAACGCAUUGUCAAAAAAAUUUGUAUAGAGUAUAAUUUGAGUUUAUUUCGAACAGGACAUCUUUCAUCAGAAAGAAAACUAUCUGCUUAUACGUUAUAGAGAGCAAUUGUCCUAACGAAAUAGCAUACUACUGUGUUCUUCUCCAAAUCCAACAUCUCAGUCUAGUGAAACCCAUAAAACUUAGUCUUGAUUAGACCAGAAGGGAACGGAUGGUAAAAGAAACGAAAGGAAGUAAAUGAAUUACAAGAAAGACAUUAUAUAUCGGUUCAUUCAUCACAUAAAUAACAUAUCCCAUGAUAACAAGAACAUGUGAAUUAAGCUCUUCUAAAAAACAAAAUCACAAGAACGAACCACCACAAUUUUCUUCUUCAAUCACAGACACAUAGAUUUAGUUAACAGUGACUUUUCCGACCAUACCAGCUCCUUGGUGAGGCGAGCAGUAGAAACUGUAGGUUCCCUUGGUAUCCAAAGUGACGACGUAAGUCUCACCAGGUGCGUUCAGCAACUCUUCCUCGGGCAUAGAGAUUUUCACAGCAUCCACGCCAGCAGGAAUCUCGUCCUCGUCGAAAACAACGUUGUGCGGGAACCCUGCGUUGUUCUUGAACACGAUCUUUUCCCCAGAGGGAACGGAGAACUCGCUGGGAACGAACACCAAAGAGCCGUCACCGCUACCAAGCAAGACUUCAAGGGCCAUGGCAUUGCUGGCGAGAACGGCGCUGGCGGCGGUGGCCACAACUGCGGCUCCAAGGUCUUUGAGGGAAGCCUUGAUGCCGAAGCGUGGGGCCUGGGGAACUGAGACUUUAACUGCGGCAGCACUCACUUUGGUUGGUCCACUCGCCUUGAGGCCGGUGAAUGAGGGAAUAGCGACGGCUGCGGAGGUGACGGCGGCCAUGUUUGUCUGUGAAGGAAGGUCUGGCGAGUGAGGUUGGUGUGUGGAAUGGGAAAUCAAAAUGGAGAAAAGCGAAGGUUAUUUCUUAUAGAGUGAGAAAAUGGAGAAAAGUGUGGAUUGGUUUUUG